AAUAAAGUGCCUGAAGAAAAGGAUUAUUCUGAUAGGAUAAAUUAUGUAAAUAUUUACCUUUAUUA
rnacentral:tRNA from 1 species